GGUCAAAAUAAAUCAUUACACCGCCACUAGUUCCACAUGGGACGUUUUUCACCUCAUCAGUCUGCAAAGUCACUUGAACCGACCGAUAAGACGUUAAGAGAGGAAUCAUCAUGUGAAAUCCUGGAUUGCUGAUAUGAGGUACUCACCCGGAAAUACACACCAACAUGACCUUCUUCAAUCCGAUGCAGAGAAAAAUUAAAAACUACUGCUAAACAGACGAGCAAACAGAGUCCAAUGAUAUUUUGAUCGGACAUCUUUUCAUCUGUGAUCAAGAUAAUAUGCUGUAUCCAAGCACGGAAAAUUUGAACUCAGUUAAUAUACAAAAAUUAGGUUAUGCAAAAGCAAAUUUGACGUUUCAGAUGAAUAUUGUUACCUGUUACAGGCGAUCGUGAAUAAAACAAUUAUACUUUAGUCUUUGUACCAGAUUCGGUAGCGAUGGUUCAUUAGUUUUCUUUAAGCCAUCAAAUAUGAUCCGUUAGAAUCAUGUCCCUUUCAAAGUUAUAGAUAUUUUCUUCGGUCUGCUAUGAUAGAUGGUGUACUCUUGAAUUUAUUUGUUGUUGAUAUUAUAAUUAUGUGUUUUAUUUUUUUUCCUGUAUUUGUUCAUUCCUUUAUUCUCGUAUUAUUUUAUAACUAGUAAUUUUUCAUCUAUCUAUGAUUAUUUGAUUUAUAUUAUUUAUUCUAUGCGUAAAUGGUUUUCACGUUCAAUUUUGUUGUGAUUUGGAACUCGGUUUACUGCCAUCACUAGUUCAUAGAAUUAAGCAAUGACUAAACACGACUAAACGAAUGGUAUUCCUUCGACCCGUUUCCGUCCGUUUGAGGUUACGAUACGAGAUUGGUCGGAGCUCUGAUUCGGGUACCUGGAUUAGAUUUGUUCGUAUCCCAAUCGAUUGUAGUUUGUUUGUCAAUUAUUGUAGUGCUAAUCCCGACGUUUGUUAGUUAAUCAUUCGCUAAAAAUAACGAAAACAAAAUCGCUUAGGGAAUUUUGUGAAGUUUGCCCCCUCACUACCUUAAAUCUCCGCCAAAUCGAAUUUAAUCUAGGUGUAAUCGUUUGUAGUUCGUUUGUAGCUUAUGCUUGGUCUAGAUGUGAAGACAAGAUGCGCAAGUUGGCCCAAAUUGAAAGUGCAACACUGCUACACUACUGGAAUGGAAGUGAGUUAAAGAUCAUGAGUUGGUAAUCUUCGUAGUGACAGCUGAUAGCAGCAGUGAUAAGUGUUUAAAAACAUUAGUUCCAAGAUGGAUUCCAUAACGCCGGUAUUCUUUCAUAUCAUACAAAUAUACAUAUACAUGUAUAAUACUUGGUUGGCACAUAGUGCUGGAAAAAAAAAAAUUCUUUGACAAGAAAGACUAAUAAUUGAACAAGCGAGAAAUGUAAACCGAAAUAUACUUGCCCUAAUCUUACGGCGACGUCGACGACGAUUAUUUCAUCGAUCUUGUUGGGUUCAACGAGAAUUGGAAAGACCAGGUCACGGACAAUAUUGGGAAUUAGCGGUUCCUCAAUAUACAGGUAAAUUUUUCAGUGUAUUGUGCAAUCAUGCUUAACAUCUCUGUAGCAAUAGAUAACAAACGUAUGUAUUCAACGCAACUACUGUCGUCAAAAGAAUCGUGCACAUAUUUCCCAAACAUUUGGAAAGUUUUACGAUGUGAUGAAUGCCCUUGGAUCCACACUUGUAAUGUAAGUUGUUCAUUGCUUAUCGAUUUUCGAUUUCAAAAGAAGUUUUGCCUGUCAAGGAAUACAUUGCAAGAACUUUGUAAAGAUCUCCAACCUUAUCUUAAAAAACAAGAUACUCUUUCGAGGGAGGCUGUUUCGUUGGAAAAAAGGGUUGCAGUUGCCCUCACAUUUCUCAAAAGUAACUGCGAUUUUUAGUCAAUAGCUGACAUGUAUGACAUUGGGAAAAGUACUGUGGGGUACUUGAUGUAUAAAUUCUGUGAUGCUGUAAUUGAUGGUUAUUACCAACAAGUCAUCAAAUUUCCGCAAAGUGAAGAAGAAAGACGAACCAUCACAACAGAAUAUUUGAACAGAUGGCAGUUUCCAGAUUGUUCUGGGGCAAUGGAUGGCACCCAUAUCCCCAUACAAGCACCAGCUCACUUUCCAGAAGAUUAGUUUAAUUAUAAGUCUUUCCACUCCAUCGUUGCAUUACUUGUCAUUGAUGAGAAGUAUUGCUUCACGUACGUCAACAUCGGUGCACCGGGCCGCUGUAAUGAUGCUUCCAUAUUUUGCAGGAGCUCAUUAUACAGAACAUUCUCUGUUGCUAACAAUGGUCAUCCUACACUGACAACAAAGCUGCAUAUCAUAUCAGAUGCAGCAUUC